GGCUGUGUAGUGUAGCGGUUAUCACUUCAGAUUCUGAUGGAUAAGAACGACUGUCUAAGACUUCUGGCGACCCCGGUUCGAUUCCGGGCACGGCCU